AACGAUGAUAUCACUGCUUGCAGUGAUUGAUUAGUGGCGAACGGGUGAGUAACACGUGAGGAACUUGCCCAUGAGCGGGGGACAACAUUCGGAAACGGAUGCUAAUACCCCAUAGGUGGAUUGGUCGCAUGACGAAUUCAUUAAAGGUGGCUUUGCUACCACUCAUGGAUAGCCUCGCGGCGUAUUAGCUAGUUGGUAAGGUAAUGGCUUACCAAGGCAGUGAUACGUAGCCGACUUGAGAGGGUGAUCGGCCACACUGGGACUGAGACACGGCCCAGACUCCUACGGGAGGCAGCAGUAGGGAAUCUUCCACAAUGGGUGCAAACCUGAUGGAGCAAUGCCGCGUGAGUGAAGAAGGUUUUCGGAUCGUAAAGCUCUGUUGUUAGAGAAGAACACGUGCUAGGUAACUACUAGCGCCUUGACGGUAUCUAACCAGAAAGUCACGGCUAACUAC
rnacentral:rRNA from 1 species